UUACAGAUACACUCCACCACGCCCAGUCUCAACACAUCAUUUCGGACACUAGAUAUGUACAGGUUUUCCCCCCACACCAAGCCAGCGAGCAGUUUGGUAGUGGGCACCGGCUGGUGUUCUCUAAUUCCAUUCAAUUAUGAUGCCAUGAGAACAUGGAAUUAACAUCAGAUCCCCUGGGUAGAGAAUGCAGAUCCCAAGUCUGUCACCCCUGCCUCCACGUGCACACCCAUCACAGCCCUGGUGUUUCACCUGCAUUUCAGACGGAGUGAAAUCAUCACCUGAGCUUCCCACAUCCCUUUUCUUGGGUUCUACCCAUUUGCCCGAGUGACGCAUGGAACCCAGGCUUCCAAAAGCCAUCUUCAACCAGUAAGUACUGGAGACCCCGAGAGGGGCAGGGAAGGCUCAGUUCCAGCCUGCACAGCCACCCCGACCUGCAGAGCCCAAGCCAAGCUAUGUGCUGUCGACUGUGGCUCUUUCUUCUAAACACAAACGCAAUGUCCCUGCAGAGCUGCGUAAAACAAAGGCAGCUGAACUCAAUCCAGAUGGAAUCCAAGGAAACACUCUCAAAUGAAUCCUAGCAAGGAGUUCUGGGUGGAGAAACAACUCCAAUCUACCCUUUAUAGAUGGAAAUGCGGUCAAACUACUCUUCCUGAGGGCACAGUCACGAGAAAAACCAGCAGCCAACACCCCCAAAGACUUAAUGAGGAAGCUCAAAGGCGGGCCAGUGUCUAAAUUCUAAGCCACUCAGUUGCCAAGGCUGGGCUCAAGCAUGAUUCUCCUGCCUCGGCCUCCCAGAGUGCUGGGGUCAUGCUCAGGCUUGGUUCUCCACACCUCAGUUCUGCACGGUUUGUGGCAAACAUGAACAGGUACGCCCUGGGGAGGCCUGCCCGCUGCCUGCCCGCCGCAGCCCUUCUUUGCCUUGGGUUGAGCUUCCUCUGUGAACAGGGAGGGUGUGAAAGACUCUGGGCUUCGGACCAGCACUGAAACAAGCCAGGAACAAACCCUGUCACCCCCCCAGGCACAUGAAGGCACUGUCGGCCCCUAGGAACCAUGCAUGGACCCGGUUCUUCGGUCUCCACGCUUCCUUCCACAGAGCUCAGGGUUCGCUGAUGAC